AUCGAAUAUGAGCUGGAGAAUCAUUCCGCGAGAGCGAAGCUCGCAUUAAAAAGAAUACCAGAGAUUCGUGCCAUUUGCGAAUGCAUCGGCAAUGCCUGCUGCUUCAUUCUGAUAAUACACGACCGUUUAAUCCAUGAGCCGGCGCGUAAUGAGAGAUGAAAAUAGAGAAGCAACUUUCAAAUCGUUCUGAAGGAGGUUCCCCAUGUAGACCACAAGAUUGGACGGAUUUAUCAAGCGCCCGACUACAAGUAUGAAAUUAUUAUUCUCGACAAUUCUUCGUCGUCACCAACAGGGGGUUGGUCUACUCAGCCAGCAAAGAGGGAUUAUUUAACCAAAUCUAGCCAAAACGAGUUCCUUUUUC
rnacentral:misc_RNA from 1 species